GCCUGGGUGGCUCAGUCGGUGGAGCGCCCGACUUCGGCUCGGGCCAUGAUCUCACGGUCCGUGGGUUCGAGCCCCGCGUCGGGCU
rfam:Felis catus isolate Cinnamon breed Abyssinian chromosome D1, whole genome shotgun sequence.